rnacentral:lncRNA from 1 species
CCCAAGGAUUCUCUAACUAUAAACUUGAGAUCUAGGUGGCUCUACGCAUUAUGUGUAUGGUGUGCACAAAACAUGCAUGCUUAUAUCAUAUGAGUAUUGCUCUCUUUAGACUAAUAAAAUUGAUCUACUUGAACUACCAAGUCUCUAUUUUUCAUUAAAUUGUGUUGCCACUCAAAACCCAGCCCGAUAGGUGGAUGAGCUGACGGACAAGUGUGAAGCACCUUCAAUGGCCAUUCUUGUGACUCAUUAGUCGGCCAUGCCAACUUGGUUGAGAUCACCCUAGACCACCAUAGUAAAGGCCUACACUUGUUGAAUGAGUAGUUUGAACUGCUCGAGAGUCACAAUUGGUGGAUGCUGAGAUAGUUGAGAAGGCAGAACACCAGCUUGGCUUGAUAGGUGUGACAUCUUGAAUCAAGAAUGUGGUGACCU